AAAUUGAAGAGUUUGAUCAUGGCUCAGAUUGAACGCUGGCGGCAGGCCUAACACAUGCAAGUCGAGCGGAAACGAGUUAUCAGAACCUUCGGGGAACGAUAACGGCGUCGAGCGGCGGACGGGUGAGUAAUGCCUAGGAAAUUGCCCUGAUGUGGGGGAUAACCAUUGGAAACGAUGGCUAAUACCGCAUGAUGCCUACGGGCCAAAGAGGGGG
rnacentral:rRNA from 1 species